CUAAGUAGUAACACCUCCUAGGUAGAAACUUAAAGAGCAUGGCGGCUUGGUAGACUAUCAGGGGAACUUACCGGAUAAAUGACAACCCUCAAGACACCCUCCUUCUUUUAUGAAAUUUGUAUACCGCCGUCUUCAGGUUAAUCCUAAGGAUAAACCAGUCAAACUAUAAGUCAGGUCAAAGUGCAGUCUAUAAAGAAGUCUAGGCGAGUUACAAUAACAGAUCUAUGCAAAGCUAAUUAUGAAAAACAUUAGCAAAGAUGGACUUGAAAGUAAGUGUUAACUGAUAAAUACACGUUGAAUUAACAACUACUAAGUGU
rnacentral:rRNA from 1 species